GCUGGGCAUGGUGGCUCAUGCCUGUAAUCCUAGCACUUUGGGAGGCUGAGGCGGGUGGAUCACUUGAGGCCAGGAGUUCAAGACUAGCCUGGCCAACAUGGUGAAACCCCAUCUCUA
rnacentral:SRP_RNA from 1 species